UUUGUGGUGUCAUCACAAGCACCUGAAAAUGUAUUGAAUAAAAUAUUGUUGCUCCUGGCAUACACCACUCAAAGGCAACAUUACAAAUUACACAAGUUGCAGUCAAGACAAGAAGUACCAUCAUUCAAGCACGAAAAACUUGCCCAAAUAGAAAUGGACACAUAGCGAUCUGAUACAGCAACCAUCACAAUUUCUUGAAGUAGAGGUGUAACUAGAUACCAUAAAAGUAGGACUAGACGUCUAGAACUCUUAGUCUUAAUAUAGCCUAUAAGUCUUGCUUUGCUGAAUGAAUAAUGAAUAUUUUUCCAUGUUUUAAUGGCCCAAAGUACACAUGAGAAAUAAUUGGAGCAUAGUCACAUAGAAGGAAUUGAAAUAUAAUAUCCAUGUAGAAGCAGGAAAAGAAACUGCAUCAAGAUUAUGCAUAACCCACGCCCAGAACUACCUCCCAUCAUCAAUAAGAAUCAUCAGAAAACCAAUCAAUAACUAAGAAAACUGGAGAAUAUUUUGGCUACUGUGUUUUCUUAAAACUGGUUUUGACAAUUAUGAUUUCAGAUGUACACAAACAGUAGCCUAAAUUGACAAAAAUUUUGGAUGGAAUAUGAGACUUUAGUACCAAGACAUUGAAAGAGAUCUAUUGCAAAAUAGACUAGGCGUAACUCCAUCAAAAGAAAAUUUGUGGGAGGACGAUUGCCCAAGUCAAAUAUGAAACAUUUUCUCUCAAAACCCAAAUACUACCUAGCCGAUGUGAGACAACACACCCUCGCACGUCUAGCACUGUAAUCUAGAGUGUGAAAUUUGCUAGACUGGACAUCUAUGGGAAAUAUCCGAUGCAAAUCAUUAAAAAACGAAAAUAGAAAUUCCAAUG
rnacentral:misc_RNA from 1 species